UCUUCAAAAGAAGGAGCCUAACUCCUCUUCUCUUGAGCAUGGGCCAGGCUUAAUGACUCACUUCUAAGUAAAGGAAUGUGGCUAGGUGACACUGUGUGACUUCCAAGGCAGGGUCACCCAGUGCCUUGUGGCUUCCUCCUUGGAGUCUUUUGGAUCACUCAUUCUGGGAGAAGCCAGCUGCCAGGGAAUGCGGAGCCUUCGACAGCCCUGUGGGAAUGUCCCUGUGGAGGAACUGAGGCCUCCAGCCAACAGCCAUCCAGCUGCCAUGUUGUAAGGACACUCAAGCUGCUCUAUGGAGAGGUCCACAUGGUGAGGAACUGAGGCCUCUGGCCAACAGCCACGUGAGUGUGCCAUCUUGGGAAAGGAUCUGCCAGCCCCAGUCAAGCCUUCAGAUACCUGCCACCCUGCCCAGCAUCUUGACUGCAACCUCAUGAAAGACCUUGAGCCAGAACCUUCCAGGAAUCAUAAAUCCGGUUCUGAUUAUCGCCACACACACAGAUCCUUCUCAAAGAUUCAGAGUCUUAUUCUUUUAUCUCUUCCCUAAAAUACGAUCUAAUUUACAAAACUUUGACUUACAACUCCGCCAGAAGCCCAGCUGGCGUGUGAAGUGAUGCACUCUGCAGCCGGCAGCACUGAAAAGCACCGGCCUCCCGGGAACCCAGCAAGGACCGUGAUCUUCAGUUAUUUUGUGCAAUAAAGAAAUUUUGUAAAACGAGUAACAC
rnacentral:lncRNA from 10 species